UACAGAGGUCUCAAGCGUUGUUCGGAUUCAUUGGGCGUAAAGGGUGCGUAGGUGGCGCUGUAAGUCGGGUGUGAAAUUUCGGAGCUUAACUCCGAAACUGCAUUCGAUACUGCGGUGCUUGAGGACUGGAGAGGAGACUGGAAAUUCAUGGUGUAGCAGUGAAAUGCGUAGAGAUCAUGAGGAAGACCAGUGGCGAAGGCGGGUCUCUGGACAGUUCCUGACACUGAGGCACGAAGGCCAGGGGAGCAAACGGGG
rnacentral:rRNA from 1 species